GGAGCCCUUCAUGUUACAAAAAAUUCUGGCCUGGUACAGAUUUACAGGCCUUCAUUCAAAUUCCCGCCUUUAAGACCUUCAAACCACCAAAAUUGUGGCACCAAAAAUUCAUCUUUCCUCCAAAAAAAAAAAAACCCCAAUUUUCUGAUGAUCAACCACAUAAUAUUGAACUCGAGAUUUCUCUCUCAUCUUCCAAAUUCUCUCUCUUUGAUCUUCCCUUCGUUUCUCCACAUUCGUUCUCUCUCACCUUACAAACCAAAACCCAGCAAUUGGAACACCAAUCAUUCCUUUGUAAAAUCAAACCCAAUUCUCAAUCUCCUCGAAAAAUGCAAUUCAAUGGCGCAAUUGUUUCAGAUUCAAGCUCAAAUGAUCAUUUCUGGGCUCAUCUUAGAUGGGCUUGCUUCAAGUCGAUUGAUUGCGUUUUGUGCAAUUUCUGAAGCUGGUGAUCUUGAUUAUUGUGAGAAAAUUUUGAAUUUUGUUGAUAACCCUAAAGUUUUUUCUUGGAAUAUUGCAAUUAAGGGUUAUUCAGAGAGUUUAAUUCCAAUUAAAGCUGUUAAAUUGUAUAAAGAAAUGUUGAACAAUAGUGCGUGUCGUCCUGAUAAUUAUACUUAUCCUCUGAUUUUUAAGGUUUGUGCUCGUUUGUCAUUAAAUUAUAUUGGUUAUGGAAUUCUUGGGCAUGUUUUGAAACUUGGUUUAGCUUCAGAUGUGUUUGUACAUAAUGGAAUUAUUCAUAUGUUGGUGUCCUGUGGUCGUUUGGAUGAUGCACGCCAUGUGUUCGAUGAAAGUUGUGUAAGAGAUUUGGUUACAUGGAAUUCUUUGAUCAAUGGGUAUGUACAUUGUGGGCAGGCUUGCGAAGCGUUGAAGCUGUAUGAGGAGAUGAGGGUGGAGGGAGUAAGGCCGGAUGAGGUGACAAUGAUUGGGAUGGUUUCAUCAUGUGCACAACUCGAGGAUUUGAGUCGAGGGUUGGAGUUUCAUCGUCUUAUUGGUGAAUGUGGACUGACUUUAACUGUCCCACUUUGUAAUGCGUUGAUGGAUAUGUAUGUUAAAUGUGGGGAUCUUAAGGCGGCACAGGAUAUAUUUGAUAAUUUGAGGAAGAAAACCAUGGUUUCGUGGACCACGAUGGUUGUGGGAUAUGCUAAAUUUGGGUUGCUAGAUGAGGCGAGGGAGCUGUUUGACAAGAUGCCUGAGAAAGAUGUGGUGCCGUGGAAUGCCAUGAUUGGAGCAUAUGUUCAAGCUAAGUAUAGUAAGGAGGCUUUGGUUCUAUUUCAUGAAAUGCAGGGUACAAAUAUUACGCCUGAUGAGAUCACUAUGGUUAACUGCUUAUCUGCUUGUGCUCAACUAGGAGCACUUGAUGUUGGGAUAUGGAUUCACUGGUACAUUAACAAGAAGAAGCUUUCUUUGAAUGUUUCAUUGGGCACAGCUCUUGUUGAUAUGUAUUCCAAAUGUGGUAACGUUGGAAAGGCGCUUGAAGUUUUCCAUGAGAUGGCUUCGAAGAAUUCAUUAACCUAUACUGCUAUCAUUGGAGGCCUAGCCCUUCAUGGGAAUGCAAAUGAUGCUUUAUCAUACUUUUCAAAAAUGGUUGAUGUUGGAUUGGUGCCAGAUGAGAUCACAUUCCUUGGAGUCUUAGCUGCUUGUUGUCAUGGGGGAUUGGUUGACAAGGGCCGUCAGUACUUUGCUGAAAUGACCUCCAUAUAUAAUCUUACUCCAAACCUUAAACACUACUCUUCCAUGGUGGACCUAGUUGGUAGGGCAGGAAAAUUAGAAGACGCAGAAGCACUUAUAAAGAGUAUGCCUAUGGAGCCAGAUGCUGUUGUAUGGGGUGCUUUGUUUUUUGCUUGUCGUAUGCAUGGGAAUGUGAUAAUGGGUGAAAAAGCUGCAUUGAAACUGCUUGAGUUGGAUCCUGGUGAUAGUGGAAUAUAUGUUUUGUUGGCAAAUAUGUAUGGGGAUGCAGAAAUGUGGGACAAAGCUAGAAAAGUAAGGAAAAUGAUGAAGGCCAGAGGAGUUGACAAGACUCCUGGUUGUAGCUCAAUUGAGAUCAAUGGAGUAGUCCAUGAAUUCACUAUAAGAGACAAGACACACCCUCAAUCCAUAGAGAUAUUUGAUUGUCUGGCUCAACUAACCAAACAACUUGAACUACUUGAAACUGCUUCGAGUAUCAGCAAAUCUUGGACUGCUGUUUCUUUGUAGAAUUAUGCUAGUCAGAAUGUUAAAAGGCUGUGAAAAUAGUUCCUUUACUCUCUUGUAUCCUCCAAACUUACAUGUUUUGCGUCUAUUAUGCAAAGUCUGUGGGCUUACUAAGAAAUAAAAUGGUUGGGCCAUCUCUCCACUUAUUCAUUCAUCUCCUUGAUUGGCUGCAGUUGCUUGAAGGACUGUGACUUAGCAACCUGAAAAAUAUGAAGGAAGAUGGCUGGAGACAUUCCACUGAACAGAGAGGAGCAUUUAAAUGAUGAUGCUCGGUGCUUUCUAGUCAAGGAUGGAUUCAAUGUAUACAAUUUAAUCGUUGAGGGUUAGUCAAUUGUUGGAUUUUGGGAUCGAGCAUCAUAGAAGUAAAGUCAUGCAAUACGGUGAAAGAGAUAGCAGUCAAAUUUCAUCAGGUGAUUCCUGAGGACAUAAGUUUGCAGCUGACUAAAUUGGUUUAAUAAUGCAGCAAAUAUAAAGUGGAUGUUCUGACAAUGGGUUACAACUUCUAGACAAAGAUUGAUUUUCCUUAUCUGCAAGUUCAGGUGAUUUUGAAUGGUGGGUGAUAUGCAUUGUUGAGCAAUCUGCUAAUCACGGAAUAGAUCUACGCUCGUAAAUUUGUCGAAAUAACUUUAUCAUAUAUACAUA